GGCUCGAUGGCGGACGGUCCGCGCCUGUCUCAUGUGCUGGGAUGUGAAAUGUACUGCAGGAACGCCCGUUCGACUCGGGCUCGAGCCA